UCCUGGUUAACCCAGGCAGUCUCAUUAGAGUUCCCACCAUUACGUGUUGGCAACUAAUGAUAAGGGUUGCGCUCGUUGCGGGACUUAACCCAACACCUCACGGCACGAGCUGACGACAGCCAUGCAGCACCUGUGCAGAGACCCUUGCGGGAGAUCCUAUUUCUAGAACUGUCCUCUGCAUGUCAAACCUGGGUAAGGUUCUUCGCGUUGCAUCGAAUUAAACCACAUGCUCCACUGCUUGUGCGGGUCCCCGUCAAUUCUUUUGAGUUUCAGCCUUGCGACUGUACUCCCCAGGCGGUAUACUUAACGCGUUAGCUACGGCACAACUAGGGUUGAGUCCAGUUACACCAAGUAUACAUAGUUUACGGCAAGGACUAC
rnacentral:misc_RNA from 1 species